AGUCAAACCAACCAAAUCUUUUCAUAUGAAAGCAUUCUUAGUACAACCUGCUGGUCAGUACCCAAAUACAGAGCUUCUAUGUAGUUUAUAUACACAAAAGUAUACUUGCUUUACCCCAAAAGAAAGAAGCCCUGAUACCACAUUAACGUGUCUCUGGCAGCUAUCAGUGGUAAGGAUCUGAAAGAAAAAGUAAAUGAAUGGAUAUGAGCUACACGGCUCAGUAAGUAAUCAUACAUAAUCUUACCGGAUCGAACAUAACGGUAACCAUGUUUAUGCAGGGUUUGAGAAGCUGACAUGCAUAUUUAUCUAAUCAUCAUCAUGGCAUAAUAUGUAUGCAAUUUAAAGGAGAUAGCGGUUAUAGCAAAAUACAACAUUUCAUAAGGAUAUAUUCAAAAACCCGUUGUAAAAUAAUGUAUGCUUUGGCCAGGCACGUUCAUAAAUGUCACGGCCCGCCUGCACAGGGCACGUGACUAUCGGGCCCACAUGAGGGGAAAAUACGGGGCUCCCCUGCCAGAUGUUGGCCGGUUCCGGGGUCCGUACGCGCGCGCAUGCGCCGCACUUAA
rnacentral:lncRNA from 1 species